GACGAACGCUGGCGGCGUGCUUAACACAUGCAAGUCGAACGAAGUGGCGAACGGGUGAGUAACGCGUAAUCAACCUGCCCUUCAGAGGGGGACAACAGUUGGAAACGACUGCUCAUACCGCAUACUGAAGGCGGGGAUUGCGUCUGAUUAGCUAGUAGGAGGGGUAACGGCCCACCAGGGCGAUGAUCAGUAGCCGGGCUGAGAGGAUGAACGGCCACAUUGGGACUGAUAACCGGUCCAGACUCCUACGGGAGGACGCAGUGGGGAAUCUUCCGCAAUGGACGAAAGUCUGACGGAGCAACUCCGCGUGAGUGAUGACGGCCUUCGGGUUGUAAAGCUCUGUUAAUCGGGACGCGGUACCGGAAUAGAAAGCCACGGCUAACUACGUGCCAGCAGCCGCGGUAAUUC
rnacentral:rRNA from 1 species